AUUGAACGCUGGCGGCAGGCCUAACACAUGCAAGUCGAACGAGUGGCGGACGGGUGAGUAAUGUCUGGGAAACUGCCUGAUGGAGGGGGAUAACUACUGGAAACGGUAGCUAAUACCGCAUACCAUCAGAUGUGCCCAGAUGGGAUUAGCUAGUGGGUGGGGUAACGGCUCACCAAGGCGACGAUCCCUAGCUGGUCUGAGAGGAUGACACGCCACUGUGGAACGGAGACACGGUCCAGACUCCGACGGGAGGCAGGAGUGGGGAAUAUUGCACAAGGGGCGCAAGCCUGAUGCAGCCCUGCCGCGUGUAUGAAGAAGGCCUUCGGGUUGUAAAGUACUUUCAGCGGGGAGGCGUUACCCGGAGAAGAAGCACCGGCUAACUCCGUGCCAGCAGCCGCGGUAAUAC
rnacentral:rRNA from 1 species